rnacentral:lncRNA from 1 species
AUGCCCAGCCGUGCGCCAGCCCAUCACCCCAUGGGGCUCGCCGGGGGCACGUGCCCGAGAAAGACGAGGACGGCAAAGGGCCUAAUGCUUGGUCCGGUUUGGGCCUGGACCUCCCUGCUGGGGACCCGAGGCUGCCCGGGGGCCUGGAGCGUCUCUGGUGCCCCCGCCUGGCAGGAGGAGUCUGGACAAACCCCAGCUGCCCGAGGAGAGGCCAGGCGCCCAGAGGACAGGGGCAGAGAGGAGCAUGCACGGCCCCAUGGCCCCCCCUCCACGUGCAAACCGCCCCCCGGUGAACGAGGCUCCCCCAGGUCCCAAACAGAGCAAGGCCCCUGGCUUCCUGGGAGUGGAGCGGCCUUGGGCCCGCAUGUCUGUGCUCUAAGCCCUCGGGGACACAGCGUGAGGGAAGCCCCCUUGAGGAUCCGCAGCCCUCCUCCAGGACCGGCCGCUUCCUCUGAGGGGCUGCUCGGGGCCAACAGCCAGAGGGUCUGUGGGGCCCCGUGGGAGGGAGGAGGAAGGCGGAGGGCCAGCCAGGCCGGGGACGGGGAGAAGCCAUCGGGGACGGGGGAUCGGGGGCAAGAGCCCCAGCCAGACUGGAAGGACGGUCAGGGUGUGUGCAGCCCCGUAGGAGCCAAAGUUCCUUCCCAGAAGGAGCCCGGGGCCCCAGGGUGCAGCGGGCUGGACGCCAGGUCCUGCUGGCCGCGCCGCUGUGAGCACCAGGGACAUCAGAGCAGGGUCACAGAAGCGGGGCCUGGCUGGGGCUCCUGGUGCCCCCGCAGAACUCGGCCCCACCUGAGUGAGGCCACAGAGCAGGGUGGGGUGGCGCGGGCCCUGCUGGCUGUCCCCAUCCCGAACCCCACACAGGGCCCCCGGGGGCCGGGAAGCAGGAGCGCGACCCCGAGGCAGCCCCAGCCCUGCUCCAGGAGAGGCGGCCAGGCCUCACCUCCAGGGAGGCCGAGGUGCGGGUCAGGCUCUGGGCCCUCCUGCCGCCCAGAGGGACAUGGUGGCCCGCGGAGGCCACAGAGGAAGCUGUGUUCUCACGUGGGCCCUCAGACGGCAGCCAGGGGUGGGGGUGCGAGGAAGAGAACCACGCGUUCACACGUGCGGGAACUGUAUUCACACGGUGCACCCCCCCACUCACACACAUGCACAUGGGUACCCAGCCACGCAGCCUCACACGCGUGUGCAAACAUACACAUGCACACACACAGGCUAAGGGGCGCGGUCUGA